rnacentral:tRNA from 1 species
CCCUCGAUAGCUCAGUUGGUAGAGCGGAGGACUGUAGAUCCUUAGGUCGCUGGUUCAAAUCCAGCUCGAGGGA